rnacentral:pre_miRNA from 15 species
GCACUUAACAAGAACUUUUUCUGUGACCUGCGUGAAUUCCUAUAUGCAAACCGCAUCACAGUCUGAGUUCUUGCUUAGCGC